rnacentral:lncRNA from 1 species
AUGUCGCUCAGUGAGUUGGUGGCAAUUUUGUGUGGAACCACACAAUUUAAGAAAAAAGAGACGUUUUUGGAUAACAUGCGAAAUCAGUUGAUUCAAGACCUAGUGAACAAAGACGCCGAGACUUUCAAACCAGUAUACGAUUUUCAUAAUGCUGUCAAAGCGGAGAGAGAUCUGGACCAAGAGAGAAUGGAAAAGUCUACACUGCCCCUGAUUGACGCAUUCAAAGAUAUCAAGAAAGAAAGCAGUUUGAAUAACGUUGAAAAUUUGAAGAACUUGGAUCUAUCCUCCUUCAAAAAGAAAAUGAUCGCAUUUGAGAAAGAGCUCUCAGAUUUGGAUCAAAUGUUUACCAUUACUUUAAAAAAACUAAGCGUGGAGAGUGAUGAGCUUGAGGAAGAAAUUGGUGAGUUGCAGCGGAAUUUAGAGCCAGUAGACGCGCUUGGCACGGCUGUUUUGAAACCCUUCAGUAUUUCUACAAUCCCUCCUGCGAUUGCCUCCAAAUACCCGGAAGUUGAGCAGUUUCAGAAAUAUUUGAAGGACUGGGGUGGCCAUUCAGGAGGCUGGACGGAUGAGGACCACGAAGUUUUUCUGCGACUGAGGGCCAAACAUAACCCCAACAGUGUGGCCUAUUAUUUACGUCAAGAAAUGCCAGAUAUCAGUGCAGCAGAGGUUGCGCGGCAUGAGUCUUGGUACCAGGAGUAUUGCGCUCUCAAAGCUGCCCAACAAGGGCCAUCAACGAUUGGCGGGAAUCUCAAAAUUUGUCGAAAAAAGUUGAUCUACAUCAAGCGGCCAUCGAAUCUCCACCUCCUGCUCCUUCCCCGGUGAAAAAAAGGGACCCCCAGCGAUCAAGGAAAAGAUUCAAGCUUGGAAGGAAGCUAAACAAGCAAGCUGAGGCAGACAGAGAGAAAGAAGGUUGUAUGGAUGGAAAAAAAAGAAGAUCUGAAGAGGAAGCAAGGAGUAUCAAAACAGGUACGGUGAGUUUGAGUUUGUGAAGAUUGU